rnacentral:lncRNA from 1 species
AGGUUCCCCCUUCAUCUUUCCUUUCCAGAGAUGGAGACCUUCCCCAGCUGCUCCAUUGAUCUCGGAGUUAACUCCGUCCGGAUCAACAUCGAUCAUGGUUGAUCCAUCUCCAAUUUUAAAUAAUCGAAUAAACCCCCCUAUCGAAUAGAAUUUCUGGGACGCGCUAGCACCUCCCUCUCGAUUCAUCUCUUAGUAAAUAUCGUCAGCUACUGUUAUGAAAGUUCCGACGACGGCUAUGGAUGCACCAAGGUCGACGAAAUCGUUGCAGCUCUCCCUAACUCGCCUUCUCGUGUCAAAACCCUUUCAGCUCCAGGAAUUGAAUCGUAGUUUCGUCGGAUCUCAACAGUUGUUGUCACCUGUGAAAUGAAGUGAAGAACACACGGCGUCAAGGAAGACCGUUGGUCAACGUCGAGAAUGAAGAAGAGAAGAUUUAAUGAAACGACGAGUUUAGAGCUUUCCGUUUAUUUCCGUUUGUGUUUUAACGUUGAUGUAUGAAACGGGGACACGUGUUUUUACCCGCGUUUCUUAUUACACUUUUACUGUUGAAGUUACCGUUGGGUUUUAGUAUAAAAACCCAACCAAUGGAAUAAACCAACUCAGGCUUUCAGACCCAUUCUAUCUUCUUCCUUCUUCUCUGCAUUUUCUUCCGUACAGCUUCUUCUUCAUUCAUCCAUUCUUACAUCCUUCAAUCAUCUUAAUAUGGUAUCAGAGCGGGUUUUAUCGAUCUAGAACUACACGAUGACUCGAAGUCAGGAUGAUGAUGAAGAUGAUGAUGAACAGACCAAUAAUCAGCAUACUUCAGGAUUCACCUUUGGAUCCGUUGGAAAAUGUUCAUCGCACUAGGGAAGCUUCAUCUAUGGCAACAGCUAAUAUGACCUUUGGUAAUCCUUAUUACCUCAAUCCAAAUGAAAAUCUAUCUCAAUCUAUAGUUAAUACAGUGCUAGAUGGAUCGAACUAUCAAAUGUGGAGUAGAUCCGUGAGGUUUGCUUUAAAAACUAAGCAUAAGGUUGGUUUCAUUGACGGAUCUAUAGUUCCUCCUGCUCCUGCUAGUGAUAGAUACUCUCUGUGGGAUGCUUGCAAUACUAUGGUGCUUUGCUGGAUUGCAAACUCAUUGCAUCCAGAAAUACGUAGAAGCGUAUUAAACCACGAAAAUGCUCAGAUUCUGUGGCAAGAGCUUAAACGCAGGUUUGGACAGGCAAACGCCUUGAAAAUGGCUAAUCUACAGGAUGAAAUUCAUGGAUGUAAACAAGGACAAAUGUCUGUGACUCAAUACUAUACGGUGAUUAAGGGACUCUGGGAAGAAUAUAGCCAAUUCUCACCCAUAGUUCCCUGCAGUUGUGCACCAGCUAAUGUGUUGCCUUGUGCAGCAGUGGUAGCAUUCCAGGAGAAGCAAGACACUGAUUACUUGAUUCGAUUCCUUAGAGGACUGAACGAAGAUUUUGAUGUAGUCAGGACUCAAUUGUUGAUGAUGACACCACUGCCUAGUGUCAGUUCAGCUUAUGCUCAUGCUCUCCAGCAUGAAGAGAAGUUAAAAGGUGGUAUGAUGAUUGGAAAGGAAAAUGUUAACCAGAAUGUGGCAUUUGCAGUUCCAUCGGAGAUUGAUGGAAGGAUGAUCAUGGCUGCUAGUUCUGGAAAUUCCAGGGAUUAUAAUCAAGCUGGGAAAAAGUUUUGUAGGUAUUGUAAGAAGGAAGGCCACAUUCUGGAUGAAUGCAGAAGGUGGGAGUGGAAGAAACAAAAAGAACAAAAUGUCCAGAAUGCGAAUAGCAACUCAUCUAACAGCAACUCAUCAUCUUCAAAUCAUUUUGCUGGAGCUGUGGACCACCAACCAGCUCCAACCGUUGCAGCUGCUCUUUCAUUAACCAAUGCUGAGCUGACUCAGCUGAAACAACUGCUACAAUCAGUCCAGCAAUCCAAAGCCACCAACUCAGGACCAGGAAUUUCAGCUCUUCCAAAUGACUCAGGUAAGUUUACUUUGUCAGCUGGUUCAUGUCCUGAUUUAGCUGAUUUGUGGAUAUUGGAUACUGGAGCUUCUGAUCACGUAACGUGCUCCCUUAAACACUUCAUUUCUUACAAAUCCGUCGUUGGAGUCAAUGUUUUUCUUCCUGACUCUUCUCCCAUGUCUGUCACUCAUGUUGGUAGUGUUAGACUUCCUCAUGGUCAAGUUAUUCACAACGUUCUGUGUGUUCCAACUUUUCACUUCAAUCUAGUCUCAGUCAGUAAGCUAACCUCUCAUCUUCCUGUUUCACUGACCUUUCAAUCCAACAAUUGUCAGCUCCAAGAUCUCACAACAGGCAAGACGAUUGGUUUAGCCGUUCAGACUAGAGGGCUUUAUCACCUCCAGCCUACUGACAAACACAUUUCAUCAUCUCUCUCUCAACCUCUUCCUUCCAGACCUCGAGUAGCAGUUAGUCACAAUUACAAACCAGAAGAAAUCAGUCUCUGGCAUUGGAGAAUGGGACAUCCUAGUGCUGAGAAAUUGAAGCUUUUACAUAGUCAUGACCAUAAUGUUGCUCCUGAAACUUUGUCUCAUUGUUCUGUUUGUCAUCUUUCCAAACAUAAACGCCUUCCUUUCCAUAGUAGUCAGACUGCAGUUUCUGCUAUUUUUGAUCUUAUUCAUGUUGACAUUUGGGGUCCUUUAUCCACUGAAUCACAUGAUGGUUUCCUAUAUUUCCUCACUAUUGUUGAUGACUAUUCUCGAGGGGUAUGGACUUACUUAAUGAAAUACAAAUCUGAGACACGAACAUUGCUGCAAUCUUUCUGCAACAUGGUUUGUACACAGUUCAAAACUAAAGUCAAAAUGAUAAGAAGUGAUCAAGGCAAAGAAUUUCAUAUGUCUGAUUUCUAUUCUGAGCAUGGUAUAAUCCAUCAAAUGUCUUGUGUCCAAACUCCACACCCGAAUGCCAAAGUAGAACGAAAACACCAGCACAUUUUGAAUGUUGCAAGAGCUUUACAGUUUCAAUCUGGCCUUCCCUGUGUCCAAACACCACAGCAGAAUGCCAAAGUAGAACGAAAACACCAGCACAUUUUGAAUGUUGCUCGAGCUUUACAGUUUCAAUCUGGUCUUCCUCUGAUAUAUUGGAGUGAUUUUGUGCUUCAUUCUGUAUACUUAAUUAAUCGAACUCCUUCUUCUGCUAUCCAAGACAAAACUCCCUUUGAACUUCUUUACAAUCAAACUCCUUCCUUGACUCAUAUUAAGGUUUUUGGCUGUUUAGCUUAUGCUGCUACACUAUCUCACAAUCGAGGAAAAUUUCAACCUCGUGCUAGGCAAAGUGUGCUUCUAGGCAUUCCUUCCCAUAUUAAAGGAUAUAAGUUACUUGAUCUUACUACAUAUACUGUUUUUAUAUCCAGGGAUGUUGUUUUCUAUGAAAACAUAUUUCCUUUCAAAUCUCAUGAUGUAUCUUCUAGUACUCCUCUCGAGUCAGAAAUUUUAGUUCCACCUCCUGUACCUGAGCCAAUUCCUGUUGAUCUAUCUUCUCAGUCUCCUUUUAAAUUCACUGAACGUCCUAGUCCAUCUCAAUCCUCAGUAUCAGUAGCUCCAGAUACAAAUUCACAUGUCACUGAUCGUUCAUGCCAGUUGCAGGGUACUCUUUCUGAUAGUGAGGAAGAGAUGGUUUUCUCUGAUCCUGAGUUUCAUCCAGCAGGGGAGGGACAGCAGCCCGUUCUGCUGGAUGUCAGGACUUCUACCAGGGCACGUCGUCCUCCUGUGCAUUUACAAGACUAUCACUUGAAUGCUAAUGUUACCAAGCAUUCACUUGCUUCUGUGGUUUCAUAUGACAGUCUCUCUGAUCAUUUUCGUAGAUUUGCUUUGAAUGUGAUAGUCCAGCAGGAACCAAAGAAUUAUAAAGAAGCUAUGACAGAUCCACACUGGAAUGUUGCUGUUCAAAGUGAAUUAGGAGCGCUCAAUGAAAAUCAUACAUGGGAUAUAGUUCCAGAUUCAGAAGAAUUCCAUAAGUUGGGAACAAAAUGGGUUUUCAAGUUGAAAUUGAAAUCUGAUGGCAGUGUAGAACGACAUAAAGCGAGAUUGGUAGCUCAGGGAUUUGAUCAGAUACAAGGUAUUGAUUUUGUGGAUACUUUCUCACCAGUAGCCAAGAUCAAUACUGUCAAAGUUUUAUUGGCAAUAGCUGCAGCUCAAGGUUUACACCUAGAGCAAAUGGAUGUAUCGAAUGCGUUUUUACAUGGAGAUCUGAAUGAGGAUGUUUAUCUGAAAAUUCCAUCUGGAUUGAAUGCACCACCAGGUAUGUGUUUGAAACUCAGAAAAUCCCUUUAUGGACUGAAACAAGCCAGCAGACAAUGGUUUGCUAAGCUCACUGGUGCUUUGUUGGAAUAUGGUUUUACACAAACCAGUUCUGAUUAUUCAUUAUUUGUUAAGGGUGAUGAACAUUCACUAGUCAUACUCUUAGUAUAUGUGGAUGAUAUAAUUCUGGCUGGAAGGCAUUUGACACGAAUCAAGGAAGUGAAAGACUAUUUACAUCAGCAAUUUAAGAUAAAGGAUCUAGGAGAGCUUCGAUACUUUCUGGGGCUUGAAAUUGCCCGUUCAAAAGCUGGAAUUGUGAUGAAUCAGAGGAAGUAUUGUAUUGAAUUACUUACAGAUACUGGAUUUUUAGAGGCUAAAGGGUGUAAAAGUCCCAUGGAAGUCAAUCUCAGGUUGAGUGCAAAGCAAGGUGAUCCUUUAGAUGACCCUUCUAUGUACAGAACUUUGGUUGGAAGGUUACAUUACCUGACCAUCAUGAGACCAGACAUAACAUUUGCAGUUCAGCAACUCAGUCAAUUCCAGAAUGAGCCUUACAGUGUGCAUUUGGAAGCAGCUCAUCGUGUGUUGAGAUAUUUGAAAUCAUCGCCAGCUCAAGGGUUGAUGUAUAAGUCGUGUAAUGAGCUGGUGUUGACUGGUUACUGUGAUUCAGAUUGGGCAGCCUGCACAGAUACUAGGAGAUCAAUUUCUGGAUAUUGUACAUAUCUUGGUGGUUCAUUAGUUACUUGGAGAUCAAAGAAGAAGGGACAGUAUCCAGAUAAUAGCUUUCGUAACGAAUUUAAAUUUACAUUAUUCUAUUGAUUUAUAGCCGAUAAUAGCUGAAUUAGACUUAAUUUCUAUGUCCUAUUUGGUUUUCAAUAACAAAAAUUUGGUAAGAAAUUCAAUCGAUUGAAAUGUUCUUAGCGGUCAGAUUGGUGAUAUAGAAUUCAUCUCAACCUAGUUGGUUAAAGGCUCUGCCCAAUUUUCUCGGACGUCACAUGUUCGAAUAGUAGCUCUAGCUUUUAAUUUCGUUUUAAUUUUCUUACAGCAGUAGCUAAAACGACGUAGUUUCAAAGAAUGGAGACUCGCUCUAAUCAAACGAUGGCGUUGCGAUUUGUGUUGCUGAUGUGAGCAAUGAGAUCAGGUUCCCCCUUCAUCUUUCCUUUCCAGAGAUGGAGACCUUCCCCAGCUGCUCCAUUGAUCUCGGAGUUAACUCCGUCCGGAUCAACAUCGAUCAUGGUUGAUCCAUCUCCAAUUUUAAAUAAUCGAAUAAACCCCCCUAUCGAAUAGAAUUUCUGGGACGCGCUAGCACCUCCCUCUCGAUUCAUCUCUUAGUAAAUAUCGUCAGCUACUGUUAUGAAAGUUCCGACGACGGCUAUGGAUGCACCAAGGUCGACAAAAUCGUUGCAGCUCUCCCUAACUCGCCUUCUCGUGUCAAAACCCUUUCAGCUCCAGGAAUUGAAUCGUAGUUUCGUUGGAUCUCAACAGUUGUUGUCACCUGUGAAAUGAAGUGAAGAACACACGGCGUCAAGGAAGACCGUUGGUCAACGUCGAGAAUGAAGAAGAGAAGAUUUAAUGAAACGACGAGUUUAGAGCUUUCCGUUUAUUUCCGUUUGUGUUUUAACGUUGAUGUAUGAAACGGGGACACGUGUUUUUACCCGCGUUUCUUAUUACACUUUUACUGUUGAAGUUACCGUUGGGUUUUAGUAUAAAAACCCAACCAAUGGAAUAAACCAACUCAGGCUUUCAGACCCAUUCUAUCUUCUUCCUUCUUCUCUGCAUUUUCUUCCGUACUGCUUCUUCCUCAUUCUAUCUUCUUCCG